rnacentral:rRNA from 1 species
CACGUAGGGGGCAAGCGUUGUCCGGAAUCAUUGGGCGUAAAGAGCUCGUAGGCGGCUCGGUAAGUCGGGUGUGAAACCCCCAGGCUCAACCUGGGGACGCCACCCGAUACUGCUGUGGCUAGAGUCCAGUAGGGGAGUGUGGAAUUCCCGGUGUAGCGGUGAAAUGCGCAGAUAUCGGGAGGAACACCGAUGGCGAAGGCAGGUCUCUGGGCCUUACUGACGCUGAGAGCGAAAGCAUGGGGAGCGAACAGG